UCCGGAACUUUCCUCGUGUUACAUCAUUUGUCUCCCGAGUAACUUCCGGUGUGCAGGAUACACAACAAGGACGAUUCCGCCAGGCAGUUUAGACUUUGAAGUGGAAACACUGGGACUAGAGAGAUGACUCAAUGCUGUACCAAGGAGUUCUCUCAGGGGGAAAUUGUCCGCCUCCCCAUCCCCCUCUGCUGCCUUUCGAGCGUCUCCCUGUCCAUGCUGGCAUAGGAGGCUCAAUUUCCCCAGGUCGUCCUCCUCUGUCUGGCACACUGCCCAUCAACGUCUAGUGACAACAGUAAAAAAAACAACAACAAAAAAAGUAAGAAAAGAAAAAGAAAAUGUUUACUUAGCUGGAGUCAGAGGCAUCUUCAUUAAGGA